CGUGCUGCCUCUUACUAGUUUCGAGAACGUGCUCGUGUUUCUCUUUAAUAUAAUUCUCGCCACCGCCAUCAUUUUUAUUAACGUCUCCGUGUUUAUCGCCAUCGUGAUGAACAGAUCACUGCGGAACGAGAACCGCUUCAUGUACAUGCUCAGCACGUGUCUCAGUGACAUCUGCACGGGCGUCUCGUAUUAUUAUGCUGGAGUUAUGGAUGUACGCGAUGAUUUUGAUUCGCCGACUCGCACUCUCUACAUCGUUCCCACUUUUCUGGGACUGUCCUAUAUGGCGAUUCUGGCCGCGCAAGCGGACCGCUACCACGCGGUCUCAGCGCCUUUCAAAUACUCGCAGCGCAUGACUCGAAACAGAACCCUGCUGGUGAUUCUGGCCUACUGGGUUUAUGCUUUUAUUUUAGUGGCUGUUUAUAAUUUGGUGACUACGGGGGUCGCUAAGGCUGUGACGGGCUUGGGUACUUUUGUGGCAAACAUUUUUAGUGUCAUUAUAAUGAUUGGCUUGAAUUUAAGGCUGUUUGUCAUCGCCAAAUUUCAGCUAGAACGCGAACCCCCGAGCGAGGAACGCGACAACAAGCGCGCGUCCAUUUAUCUCAUCAUAAUAGUAGCUGUGUGUUUUCUGAUUGCAUGGCUGCCGUGGUUUCUUCUUACGACUGUGUGUACAUUUAGAGGAGGUUCGUGUUAUCCGUUUAGAAAUGACGGCACAGACCCCCUGCGCAUUCUGGCGCGCGUCAAUGCGCUUAUCACUCCUUUACUGUACAUCAGAGGCUGUACUCCACUCAGGAGCACCAUAAUGAUUAAAGUCUGGAGAAUACCAUGCUGCAAGAGUAAAAGAGUGAAGCCACAGAAUAUGGAGAAGACUGUAGACUAGAUGUAGCAGGGAUCUUCAGGAUGUGACAAUCUUCGAGUGGCAGGACUUUUAAAGAGA
ensembl:lncRNA